ACGCUCGACACCUACUGGAGGCAGCAGUGGGGAAUAUUGCACAAUGGGGGAAACCCUGAUGCAGCGAUGCCGCGUGAAGGAAGAAGUAUCUCGGUAUGUAAACUUCUAUCAGCAGGGAAGAAAAUGACGGUACCUGACUAAGAAGCCCCGGCUAACUACGUGCCAACAGCCGCGGUAAUCUGAGCGGGCGUGGCAAGGC
rnacentral:rRNA from 1 species